AGGUUAAGUUAACAAGGGCGCAUGGUGAAUGCCUUGGCACUAGGAGCCGAUGAAGGACGGGACUAACACCGAUAUGCUUCGGGGAGCUGUACGUAAGCUAUGAUCCGGAGAUUUCCGAAUGGGGUAACCCAGCAGUUUUAAUCAACUGUUACCACUAGAUGAAUUCAUAGUCUAGUUGGAGGUAAACGCUGUGAACUGAAACAUCUCAUUAGCAGCAGGAAUAUAAAGAAAUUUCGAUUCCCUAAGUAGCGGCGAGCGAACGGGGAACAGCCCAAACCAAAGUGCUUGCACUUUGGGGUUGUAGGACUGAACAUUUGAGUUACCAAAGAACUUGAUAGUCGAAGGAUUUGGGAAAAUCCGCCAUAGAUGGUGAUAGCCCAGUAGAUUAAAUCAAAUUCUCUCAGUUCAGGAUCCUGAGUACGGCGGAACACGUGAAAUUCCGUCGGAAUCCGGGAGGACCAUCUCCCAAGGCUAAAUACUACCUAGUGACCGAUAGUGAACCAGUACCGUGAGGGAAAGGUGAAAAGCACCCCGGGAGGGGAGUGAAAUAGUUCCUGAAACCAUGUGCCUACAAUAAGUCAGAGCGCGUUAAUGCGUGAUGGCGUGCCUUUUGUAGAAUGAACCGGCGAGUUAUGAUCCCGUGCAAGGUUAAGACUAAAAAGUCGGAGCCGUAGCGAAAGCGAGUCUGAAAUGGGCGUUUUGAGUACGAGGUUAUAGACCCGAAACCAGGUGACCUAUCCAUGUCCAGGUUGAAGGUGCGGUAAAACGCACUGGAGGACCGAACCCGUGUAAGUUGAAAAUUGCUGGGAUGAGGUGUGGAUAGCGGUGAAAUUCCAAACGAACUUGGAGAUAGCUGGUUCUCUCCGAAAUAGCUUUAGGGCUAGCCUCGGAAUUAGGAUCAUGGAGGUAGAGCACUAUUUGGACUAGGGGCCCGUCUUGGGUUACUGAAUUCAGAUAAACUCCGAAUGCCAUUGAUUCAUAUCCGGGAGUCAGACGAUGAGUGAUAAGAUCCACCGUCGAAAGGGGAACAGCCCAGACCAUCAGUUAAGGUCCCUAAAUGUAUGCUAAGUGGAAAAGGAUGUGGAGUUGCAUAGACAACUAGGAUGUUGGCUCAGAAGCAGCCACCAUUUAAAGAGUGCGUAAUAGCUCACUAGUCGAGUGAUCCUGCGCCGAAAAUGUACCGGGGCUAAGCAUACUACCGAAACCAUGGAUGCGACCAUUAGGUCGCGUGAUAGGAGAGCGUUCUAAGGGCGGUGAAGCAAGAUCGUGAGGACUUGUGGAGCGCUUAGAAGUGAGAAUGCCGGUAUGAGUAGCGAAAGAUAGGUGAGAAUCCUAUCCACCGAAUGACUAAGGUUUCCUGGGGAAGGCUCGUCCUCCCAGGGUUAGUCGGGACCUAAGUCGAGGCCGAGAGGCGUAGACGAUGGAUAACAGGUUGAGAUUCCUGUACUAGUUAAGUGCGUUUGAGCAAUGGAGGGACGCAGGAGGCUAAGAUGUGCAUUCUGUUGGAUUAGAAUGUCCAAGCAGUAAGUCUUGUGAAGAGUCAAAUGCUUUUCACUUUAAGGACAAGCUGUGAUGGGGAGCGAAAUUUAGUAGCGAAGCGUCUGAUGUCACACUGCCGAGAAAAGCUUCUAGUGAGUACUUAACUACCCGUACCGCAAACCGACACAGGUAGUCGAGGAGAGAAUCCUAAGGUGAGCGAGUGAACUCUCGUUAAGGAACUCGGCAAAAUGACCCCGUAACUUCGGGAGAAGGGGUGCUGAUCGCAAGAUCAGCCGCAGUGAAUAGGCCCAGGCGACUGUUUAUCAAAAACACAGGUCUCUGCAAAAUCGUAAGAUGACGUAUAGGGGCUGACGCCUGCCCGGUGCUGGAAGGUUAAAAGGAUGGGUUAGCUUCGGCGAAGCUCAGAAUUGAAGCCCCAGUAAACGGCGGCCGUAACUAUAACGGUCCUAAGGUAGCGAAAUUCCUUGUCGGGUAAGUUCCGACCCGCACGAAAGGCGUAACGAUCUGGGCACUGUCUCAACGAGAGACUCGGUGAAAUUAUAUUGUCCGUGAAGAUGCGGACUACCCGCGACAGGACGGAAAGACCCCAUGGAGCUUUACUGUAGCUUGAUAUUGAGUGUUUGUACAGCUUGUACAGGAUAGGUAGGAGCCAUAGAAACCGGAACGCUAGUUUCGGUGGAGGCGUUGGUGGGAUACUACCCUCGCUGUAUGACCACUCUAACCCGCACCACUAAUCGUGGUGGGAGACAGUGUCAGGUGGGCAGUUUGACUGGGGCGGUCGCCUCCUAAAAAGUAACGGAGGCGCCCAAAGGUUCCCUCAGAAUGGUUGGAAAUCAUUCGUAGAGUGUAAAGGCACAAGGGAGCUUGACUGCGAGACAGACAGGUCGAGCAGGGACGAAAGUCGGGCUUAGUGAUCCGGUGGUACCGUAUGGAAGGGCCAUCGCUCAACGGAUAAAAGCUACCCUGGGGAUAACAGGCUUAUCUCCCCCAAGAGUCCACAUCGACGGGGAGGUUUGGCACCUCGAUGUCGGCUCAUCGCAUCCUGGGGCUGUAGUCGGUCCCAAGGGUUGGGCUGUUCGCCCAUUAAAGCGGUACGCGAGCUGGGUUCAGAACGUCGUGAGACAGUUCGGUCCCUAUCCGUCGCGGGCGUAGGAAAUUUGAGAGGACCUGUCCUUAGUACGAGAGGACCGGGAUGGACAUACCUCUGGUGUACCAGUUGUGCCGCCAGGCGCAUCGCUGGGUAGCUACGUAUGGAUGUGAUAAACGCUGAAAGCAUCUAAGUGUGAAACACACCUCGAGAUGAGAUUUCCCAUUCCUUUAUGGAAGUAAGACCCCUGAAAGAUGAUCAGGUAGAUAGGUUAGAAGUGGCAGUGCGGUGACGCAUGAAGUGGACUAAUACUAAUCGGUCGAGGACUUAACCAAG
rnacentral:rRNA from 2 species